GAUGAAGAAGUAGCGAAAUGCGAUAAGUAAUGUGAAUUGCAGAAUUCAGUGAAUCAUCGAAUCUUUGAACGCACAUUGCGCCCGCUAGUAUUCUGGCGGGCAUGCCUGUCCGAGCGUCAUUUCAACCCUCAAGCCCCCGGGCUUGGUGUUGGGGAUCGGCGAGCCUCCGCGCCCGCCGUCCCCUAAAUCUAGUGGCGGUCUCGCUGUAGCUUCCUCUGCGUAGUAGCACACCUCGCACUGGGAAACAGCGCGGCCACGCCGUUAAACCCCCAACUUCUGAACGUUUGACCUCGGAUCAGGUAGGAAUACCCGCUGAACUUAAGCAUAUCAAUAAGCGGAGGA
rnacentral:misc_RNA from 1 species